rnacentral:misc_RNA from 1 species
GAUGAAGAACGUAGCGAAAUGCGAUAAGUAAUGUGAAUUGCAGAAUUCAGUGAAUCAUCGAAUCUUUGAACGCACAUUGCGCCCGCCAGUAUUCUGGCGGGCAUGCCUGUUCGAGCGUCAUUUCAACCCUCAGGGCCCUUUUGGACCUGGCGUUGGGGCUCGGCCGCUACCCUGCGGCCGUCCCCGAAAGAUAGUGGCGGUCUCGCUGUAGCCUACUCUGCGUAGUAGUUACAUCUCGCACUGGAACGCGGCGCGGCCAUGCCGUUAAACACCCCACUUCUCAAGGUUGACCUCGGAUCAGGUAGGAAUACCCGCUGAACUUAAGCAUAUCAAUAAGCGGAGGA